UACGUAGGGGGCUAGCGUUGUCCGGAAUCAUUGGGCGUAAAGAGCGUGUAGGCGGUCCGGUAAGUCCGCUGUGAAAGUCGGGGGCUCAACCCUCGAAUGCCGGUGGAUACUGUCGAGCUCGAGUCCGGAAGAAGCGAGUGGAAUUCCUGGUGUAGCGGUGAAAUGCGCAGAUAUCGGGAGGAACACCAGUGGCGAAGGCGACUACCUGGCC
rnacentral:rRNA from 1 species